GACGAACGCUGGCGGCGUGCUUAACACAUGCAAGUCGAACGGUAAGGCCCUUCGGGGUACACGAGUGGCGAACGGGUGAGUAACACGUGGGUGGUCUGCCCUGCACUUCGGGAUAAGCCUGGGAAACUGGGUCUAAUACCGGAUAGGACCACUGCCUGCAUGGGUGGUGGUGGAAAGCUUUUGCGGUGUGGGAUGGGCCCGCGGCCUAUCAGCUUGUUGGUGGGGUGAUGGCCUACCAAGGCGACGACGGGUAGCCGGCCUGAGAGGGUGACCGGCAACACUGGGACUGAGAUACGGCCCAGACUCCUACGGGAGGCAGCAGUGGGGAAUAUUGCACAAUGGGCGCAAGCCUGAUGCAGCGACGCCGCGUGAGGGAUGACGGCCUUCGGGUUGUAAACCUCUUUCAGCACCGACGAAGCGCAAGUGACGGUAGGUGCAGAAGAAGGACCGGCCAACUACGUGCCAGCAGCCGCCGUAA
rnacentral:rRNA from 1 species